rnacentral:miRNA from 1 species
UAAGGUGACCAACUGUCCCCUGGUUUGCCUGGGACUGACAUUCUCCUGGGACACAGGACUUUCAGUGCUAAAACUAGGAAAGU